AGGGGUGCAUCGGGGGGGCGGGGCUGGUGACCAGGAGGAAGAGCCUGCCCCAGGGCCAAGGGUCAACUUGCUGCCGCUCAGCGGGGACCGCGUGGGUGAGACAGACGGAAUUCGCACCGAGUCUGGCCUCGUUCUAGCGACUGCACAGUGGAGAGCCCGCCUCUCCAGCUCGACCAGCGACAGCUCGUCCUCCAGGAUUCCACCUUCGACAUCACUGCCGGUUUUGUUCUGCGCUUCGUGACAAAGCUGCGGAACGUGGUGGUUGAUGGUGGUCUCACCCCACGCCCUCACCUUAGCCCACCCUGCAGAGCCGCAGAGCUCGCCAGUCCCUGCCGGCCGCUCCCACAAGGCUGCCCCGGCGCCCCCCUCCACCAGCCCCCCUGUUGCCAGGUCCAGUCCUUGCUUCUGUUCUCAGUCAGUUCGUCACGGUCGCCUACUCCCUUCCCGAGACAUUUCUUGUCAUUUCCCUUCCGCUCCCUCCUGGUUCUCGGUGGUGUGGCCACAAUGUGCUGGGGUGCCCAGGGCUCUCCGUGUGCCGUCCUCUAUCCGCACACGCUGUAGGUGUGCUCGUGUGGUGCAGUACACAUCGAUGACUGACCCCCACCAUCUGUCUCCAGCCAGGACCUCUUCUGAGACCAGGCUCCAUGUCUAACUUGGCCUCACCACACGCAUGGUCGGUGUCUAGACCUAACUCAGCCGAAACGGAGUCGAGCGCCUGCACACCCAGCCGUGUCUCCCCAGCCUUUCCUGACCUAGCGAACAGCAGCGCCAAACGUCUAGGGAUUGUGUGUUUCCUCUCCCCUCCCCUCAGCAUCCAGCCAAGUCUAGCAGCAAAUCCUGUCGCUUUGACCUCCAAAGCACACCACACAUCCACUCACUUACCCCCAUCCCGGGUCUUUCUGCCCUCUUUUAUUGCCUGAUGAAAUGGACUUACUGAAAUUGACCCCCUGCUUCCGUUUCUGCGGCUCCACACUUCCGUGCAGAGCGUGUAUUAAAAAACACAAACGGGGUUGUG